rnacentral:antisense_RNA from 1 species
UGGAUUGCGCUAACUGGCUUGGCGCUGAUCCUGGUG